GACGAACGCUGGCGGCGUGCCUAAUACAUGCAAGUUGAGCGCUGAAGGCUGGUACUUGUACCAACUGGAUGAGCAGCGAACGGGUGAGUAACGCGUGGGGAAUCUGCCUUUGAGCGGGGGACAACAUUUGGAAACGAAUGCUAAUACCGCAUAAAAACUUUCAACACAAGUUUUAAGUUUGAAAGAUGCAAUUGCAUCACUCAAAGAUGAUCCCGCGUUGUAUUAGCUAGUUGGUGAGGUAAAGGCUCACCAAGGCGAUGAUACAUAGCCGACCUGAGAGGGUGAUCGGCCACAUUGGGACUGAGACACGGCCCAAACUCCUACGGGAGGCAGCAGUAGGGAAGCUUCGGCAAUGGACGAAAGUCUGACCGAGCAACGCCGCGUGAGUGAAGAAGGUUUUCGGAUCGUAAAACUCUGUUGGUAGAGAAGAACGUUGGUGAGAGUGGAAAGCUCAUCAAGUGACGGUAACUACCCAGAAAGGGACGGCUAACUACGUG
rnacentral:rRNA from 1 species